CCACCCGCGUUUCCGCGCACCUCGCAGCUGGUCACAUGGUGAGGGUGGGGGUGAGAGGCCUUUUCUAGCCUGCGGCCUGUGUCUAUGGUCCGGCCCAUAACGUCCAGCUGCCCCAGGCCGAGCUCUCGUGUAUGGCUCGGCGGGAAGCGGCUUCGAGGCCCCGAUAACGGGCUGCCCCCUCAGCUCUUAGCCUGGCUUGAGGGUCUCCCCUGAUCUGAGAAUGGCCACCUCUCGAUAUGAACCAGUGGCUGAGAUUGGUGUCGGUGCUUAUGGGACCGUGUACAAGGCCCGUGAUCCUCACAGUGGCCACUUCGUAGCCCUCAAGAGUGUGAGAGUCCCCAAUGGAGGAGGAGCUGGAGGAGGCCUGCCCAUCAGCACAGUAUGUGAGGUGGCCUUACUAAGGCGGUGGGAGGCGUUAGAGCAUCCCAAUGUUGUCCGGCUGAUGGAUGUCUGUGCUACUUCCCGAACCGACCGAGAGAUCAAGGUGACCCUAGUAUUUGAGCAUGUAGACCAAGACCUAACGACAUAUCUGGACAAGGCCCCGCCACCAGGCUUGCCAGUUGAAACCAUCAAGGAUCUAAUGCGUCAGUUUCUGAGGGGCCUAGAUUUCCUUCAUGCCAACUGCAUCGUUCACCAACACCUGAAACCACAGAACAUUCUGGUGACAAGUGGUGGAACAGUCAAGUUGGCUGACUUUGGUCUAGCAAGAAUCUACAGCUACCAGAUGGCCCUUACACCAGUGGUGGUUACACUCUGGUACUGGGCUCCCAAAGUUCUUCUGCAGUCUACAUACGCAACACCAGUGGACAUGUGGAGUGUUGGCUGUAUCUUCGCAGAGAUGUUUCAUCGAAAACCUCUUUUCUGGGGCUGAAAGCCUCUUUUCUGUGGAAACUCUGACGCUGAUCAGUUGGGCAAAAUUUUUGACUUGAUUGGGCUGCCUCCAGAGGAUGCCUGGCCUCGAGAUGUAUCUUUACCACAAGGAGCCUUUUCACCCAGAGGGCCUCGCCCUGUGCAGUCAGUGGUACCUGAGAUGGAGGAAUCUGGAGCACAACUGCUGCUGGAAAUGCUGACAUUUAACCCACACAAGCAUAUCUCUGCAUUCCGAGCCCUGCAGCACUCUUACCUACAUAAGGAAGAAGGUGACCCAGAGUAAGCAGUGGAG